rnacentral:tRNA from 1 species
GCCGCGGUGGCGGAACUGGCAGACGCGCUGGGCUUAGAACCCAGUGUCUUUAGCGGACAUGGGAGUUCAAUUCUCCCCCGCGGCA